rnacentral:rRNA from 1 species
GCUUAACACAAGCAAGUCGAGGGGCAUCAGAGAAGAAAGCUUAGCUUUCUUUGCUGGCGACCGGAGCACGGGAGAGUAACACGUAUCCAACCAGCCCUUUACUCGGGGAUAGCCUUUCGAAAGAAAGAUUAAUACCCGAUAGCAUAAUGAUUCCGCAAGGUUUCAUUAUUAAAGGAUUCCGGUAAAGGAUGGGGAUGCGUUCCAUUAGGUUGUUGGAGAAGUAACGGCCCACCAAGCCUUCGAUGGAUAGGGGUUCUGAGAGGAAGGUCCCCCACAUUGAAACUGAGACACGGUCCAAACUCCUACGGGAGGCAGCAGUGAGGAAUAUUGGUCAAUGGGCGCUAGCCUGAACCAGCCAAGUAGCGAGAAGGAUGAAGGCUCUAUGGGUCGUAAACUUCUUUUAUAUAAGAAUAAAGUGCAGCAUGCAUACUGUUUUGUAUGUAUUAUAUGAAUAAGGAUCGGCUAACUCCGUGCCAGCAGCCGCGGUAAUACGGAAGAUCCGAGCGUUAUCCGGAUUUAUUGGGUUUAAAGGGAGCGUAGGAGGACUGGUAAGUCAGUUGUGAAAGUUUGCGGCUCAACCGUAAAAUUGCAGUUGAUACUGUCAGUCUUGAGUACAGUAGAGGUGGGCGGAAUUCGUGGUGUAGCGGUGAAAUGCUUAGAUAUCACGAAGAACUCCGAUUGCGAAGGCAGCUCACUGGACUGCAACUGACACUGAUGCUCGAAAGUGUGGGUAUCAAACAGGAUUAGAUACCCUGGUAGUCCACACAGUAAACGAUGAAUACUCGCUGUUUGCGAUAUACAGUAAGCGGCCAAGCGAAAGCAUUAAGUAUUCCACCUAGGGAGUACGCCGGCAACGGUGAAACUCAAAGGAAUUGACGGGGGCCCGCACAAGCGGAGGAACAUGUGGUUUAAUUCGAUGAUACGCGAGGAACCUUACCCGGGCUUAAAUUGCAGUGGAAUGAUGUGGAAACAUGUCAGUGAGCAAUCACCGCUGUGAAGGUGCUGCAUGGUUGUCGUCAGCUCGUGCCGUGAGGUGUCGGCUUAAGUGCCAUAACGAGCGCAACCCUUAUCUUUAGUUACUAACAGGUUAUGCUGAGGACUCUAGAGAGACUGCCGUCGUAAGAUGUGAGGAAGGUGGGGAUGACGUCAAAUCAGCACGGCCCUUACGUCCGGGGCUACACACGUGUUACAAUGGGGGGUACAGAAGGCAGCUAGCGGGUGACCGUAUGCUAAUCCCAAAAUCCUCUCUCAGUUCGGAUCGAAGUCUGCAACCCGACUUCGUGAAGCUGGAUUCGCUAGUAAUCGCGCAUCAGCCACGGCGCGGUGAAUACGUUCCCGGGCCUUGUACACACCGCCCGUCAAGCCAUGGGAGCCGGGGGUACCUGAAGUACGUAACCGCAAGGAUCGUCCUAGGGUAAAACUGGUGA